rnacentral:rRNA from 1 species
UAACGAAUCUUCCGCAAUGCACGCAAGUGUGACGGAGCGACGCCGCGUGUGGGACGAAGCCCUUCGGGGUGUAAACCACUGUCAGGGGUUAGAAAGUUCUGAUCAACCCCAGAGGAAGGCACGGCUAACUCUGUGCCAGCAGCCGCGGUAAGACAGAGGUGCCGAGCGUUAGGCGGAAUCACUGGGCUUAAAGCGUGUGUAGGCGGACCGUUAAGUACCUUGUGAAAUCCCCCGGCUCAACCGGGGAACGGCUGGGUAAACUGGCGGUCUUGAGCCAUCCAGGGGCAGUCGGAACAGACGGUGGAGCGGUGAAAUGCGUAGAUAUCGUCUGGAACGCCGAAGGUGAAAACAGACUGCUGGGGAUGAGCUGACGCUGAGACACGAAAGCCAGGGGAGCGAACGGGAUUAGAUACCCCCGUAGUCC